rnacentral:rRNA from 1 species
AAGCGUUUAUGACCAGACUUUUUCCUAGUGGAUCAUCCGGUGUUCUCACCGGUGCACUUCGCUAGGUUGAGGCCAGCAUCGGUUUCCGUAGGGGGAUAAAAGCUUUAGGAAUGUAUCUACCUUCGGGUCGACUUAUAGCCUAGAGUGUAAUGCGACCUAUCUAGACCGAGGAACGCGCUUUUUGCUCGGAUGUUGGCGUAAUGGU